CCUACGGGAGGCAGCAGUGGGGAAUCUUGCGCAAUGGGGGCAACCCUGACGCAGCCAUGCCGCGUGAAUGAUGAAGGCCUUAGGGUUGUAAAGUUCUUUUGCCCGUGACGAUGAUGACGGUAACGGGAGAAUAAGCUCCGGCUAACUUCGUGCCAGCAGCCGCGGUAAUACGAAGGGGGCUAGCGUUGUUCGGAAUUACUGGGCGUAAAGCGCGCGCAGGCGGUUCGAUAAGUUAGGGGUGAAAUCCCUGGGCUCAACCCAGGAAUGGCCUUUAAGACUGUCGAGCUAGAGGACGAGAGAGGUGAGUGGAAUUCCCAGUGUAGAGGUGAAAUUCGUAGAUAUUGGGAAGAACACCGGUGGCGAAGGCGGCUCACUGGCUCGUUUCUGACGCUGAGGCGCGAAAGCGUGGGGAGCAAACAGGAUUAGAUACCCUGGUAGUCCACGCCCUAAACGAUGAGUGCCAGGUGUCGGGAAGCUUAGCUUCUCGGCGCCGCAGCUAACGCCUUAAGCACUCCGCCUGGGGAGUCGGCCGCAAGGUUAAAACUCAAAUGAAUUGACGGCUGAGAGNGCGACGACGACGACGAGGAGAG
rnacentral:rRNA from 1 species